AUUGAACGCUGGCGGCAUGCCUUACACAUGCAAGUCGAACGGCAGCACGGGGGCAACCCUGGUGGCGAGUGGCGAACGGGUGAGUAAUGCAUCGGAACGUGCCCAGUAGUGGGGGAUAACCAGUCGAAAGACUGGCUAAUACCGCAUACGACCUAAGGGUGAAAGCGGGGGACCGUAAGGCCUCGCGCUAUUGGAGCGGCCGAUGUCCGAUUAGCUAGUUGGCGGGGUAAGAGCCCACCAAGGCGACGAUCAGUAGCUGGUCUGAGAGGACGACCAGCCACACUGGGACUGAGACACGGCCCAGACUCCUACGGGAGGCAGCAGUGGGGAAUUUUGGACAAUGGGCGCAAGCCUGAUCCAGCCAUGCCGCGUGCGGGAAGAAGGCCUUCGGGUUGUAAACCGCUUUUGGCAGGAACGAAACGGCGCAAGCCAAUACCUUGCGCUAAUGACGGUACCUGCAGAAUAAGCACCGGCUAACUACGUGCCAGCCGCCGCAGUAAUAC
rnacentral:rRNA from 1 species